rnacentral:rRNA from 1 species
ACGCUCGACACCUACGGAGGCAGCAGUGAGGAAUAUCGGUCAAUGGGCGCAGGCCUGAACCAGCCAAGUAGCGUGAAGGAUGACUGCCCUAUGGGUUGUAAACUUCUUUUAUAUGGGAAUAAAGUUUUCCACGUGUGGAAUUUUGUAUGUACCAUAUGAAUAAGGAUCGGCUAACUCCGUGCCAGUAGCCGCGGUAAUCUGAGCGGGCUGGCAAGGC